GAUGAAGAACGUAGUGAAAUGCGAUAAGUAAUGUGAAUUGCAGAAUUCAGUGAAUCAUCGAAUCUUUGAACGCACCUUGCACCCUUUGGCAUUCUGAAGGGUAUGCUCGUUUGAGUGUCAUUGUACUCUCACACUCCCGAUCUUUGCAUUGGGAGCAGUGGACUUGGGUUUGCUGCUUCACCGUCGCUUACCUCAAAUAGGUUAGUGCAACUCUUGGUUGGACAUAGUACGGCGUGAUAAGUGUUCUUCGCCGGUGCCUCGCAAAGAGGGUGGCCGAUCGGGAUGUUGUGCUCCAAACCGUCUUCGGACAAUCUCUGACGACUUGACCUCAAAUCGAGUAAGACUACCCGCUGAACUUAAGCAUAUCAAUAAGCGGAGGG
rnacentral:misc_RNA from 1 species